rnacentral:rRNA from 1 species
UAAUACAGAGGGUGCAAGCGUUAAUCGGAAUUACUGGGCGUAAAGCGUGCGUAGGUGGUUGAUUAAGCUGGAUGUGAAAGCCCCGGGCUUAACCUGGGAACUGCAUUCAGGACUGGUUAACUCGAGUCUGGGAGAGGGUGGUGGAAUUUCCGGUGUAGCGGUGAAAUGCGUAGAUAUCGGAAGGAACAUCAGUGGCGAAGGCGACCGCCUGGCCUAAGACUGACACUGAGGCACGAAAGCGUGGGGAGCAAACAGG